rnacentral:tRNA from 1 species
ACCUGGGUGGCUCAGUCAGUUGAGCGUCUGACUUUGACUCAGGUCAUGAUCUCGCGGUUCGUGGGUUCCAGCCCCACGUCGGGCU